GCCAGUGUGGUAUAGUAAUUUGAAUGGUGGACUAUGACUCUGGAGACCAGGGUUCGACUCCCAGCUCAGCCA